rnacentral:rRNA from 1 species
CUUGCCCAGAAGUAGGGGAUAACACCUGGAAACAGAUGCUAAUACCGUAUAACAGAGAAAACCGCAUGUUUUCUUUUAAAAGAUGGCUCUGCUAUCACUUCUGGAUGGACCCGCGGCGUAUUAGCUAGUUGGUGAGGUAAAGGCUCACCAAGGCAGUGAUACGUAGCCGACCUGAGAGGGUAAUCGGCCACAUUGGGACUGAGACACGGCCCAGACUCCUACGGGAGGCAGCAGUAGGGAAUCUUCCACAAUGGACGCAAGUCUGAUGGAGCAACGCCGCGUGAGUGAAGAAGGGUUUCGGCUCGUAAAGCUCUGUUGUUAAAGAAGAACGUGGGUAAGAGUAACUGUUUACCCAGUGACGGUAUUUAACCAGAAAGCCACGGCUAACUACGUGCCAGCAGCCGCGGUAAUACGUAGGUGGCAAGCGUUAUCCGGAUUUAUUGGGCGUAAAGCGAGCGCAGGCGGUCUUUUAAGUCUAAUGUGAAAGCCUUCGGCUCAACCGAAGAAGUGCAUUGGAAACUGGGAGACUUGAGUGCAGAAGAGGACAGUGGAACUCCAUGUGUAGCGGUGAAAUGCGUAGAUAUAUGGAAGAACACCAGUGGCGAAGGCGGCUGUCUGGUCUGCAACUGACGCUGAGGCUCGAAAGCAUGGGUAGCGAACAGGAUUAGAUACCCUGGUAGUCCAUGCCGUAAACGAUGAUUACUAAGUGUUGGAGGGUUUCCGCCCUUCAGUGCUGCAGCUAACGCAUUAAGUAAUCCGCCUGGGGAGUACGACCGCAAGGUUGAAACUCAAAAGAAUUGACGGGGGCCCGCACAAGCGGUGGAGCAUGUGGUUUAAUUCGAAGCUACGCGAAGAACCUUACCAGGUCUUGACAUCUUCUGACAGUCUAAGAGAUUAGAGGUUCCCUUCGGGGACAGAAUGACAGGUGGUGCAUGGUUGUCGUCAGCUCGUGUCGUGAGAUGUUGGGUUAAGUCCCGCAACGAGCGCAACCCUUAUUACUAGUUGCCAGCAUUAAGUUGGGCACUCUAGUGAGACUGCCGGUGACAAACCGGAGGAAGGUGGGGACGACGUCAAAUCAUCAUGCCCCUUAUGACCUGGGCUACACACGUGCUACAAUGGAUGGUACAACGAGUCGCGAGACCGCGAGGUUAAGCUAAUCUCUUAAAACCAUUCUCAGUUCGGACUGUAGGCUGCAACUCGCCUACACGAAGUCGGAAUCGCUAGUAAUCGCGGAUCAGCAUGCUGCGGUGAAUACGUUCCCGGGCCUUGUACACACCGCCCGUCACACCAUGAGAGUUUGUAACACCCAAAGCCGGUGGG